rnacentral:rRNA from 1 species
GGACUACCAGGGUAUCUAAUCCUGUUUGCUCCCCACGCUUUCGCGUCUGAGUGUCAGUCACCGUCCAGAAGGCCGCCUUCGCCACCGGUAUUCCUCCCAAUAUCUACGGAUUUCACCCCUACAUUGGGAAUUCUGCCUUCCUCUCCGGGACUCUAGCCGAGCAGUUUCGGAUGCAGUUCCCGAGUUGAGCUCGGGGCUUUCACAUUCGACUUACUCAGCCACCUGCACGCGCUUUACGCCCAGUAAUUCCGAACAACGCUUGCGCCCUCCGUAUUACCGCGGCGGCUGGCAC